UUGAAGUUAUUGUGUUUCUCACUCAGAAGUCUACGAUGAGCAGGGUUUGGUUGGUCCUCUGGCGGGCGCUCGAGAGCACGAGUGCCGACGGCCUUGCGGCGGCCCGCCGAGGCAACAUAAGAAGGUAGAUAUGGGGUUGGAGGUCGGGCCCGGAGGCCCUAUCUCGGUAAUGAUCCUUCCGCAGGUUCACCUACGGAAA
rnacentral:misc_RNA from 1 species